UACGUAGGGCGCAAGCGUUGUCCGGAAUCAUUGGGCGUAAAGAGCGCGUAGGCGGCCCGGUAAGUCCGCUGUAAAGGUCAAAGGCUCAACCUUUGAAUGUCAGUGGAUACUGCCGGGCUAGAGUCCGGAAGAGGCGAGUGGAAUUCCUGGUGUAGCGGUGGAAUGCGCAGAUAUCAGGAGGAACACCAACGGCGAAGGCAGCUCGCUAGGACGGUACUGACGCUGAGGCGCGAAAGCGUGGGGAGCGAACAGG
rnacentral:rRNA from 1 species